rnacentral:ncRNA from 1 species
UGUCUCCUCUAUUCUCUUAACGGAAAAUAGAUUUAGCCCGCUCUCGAGCGGGCUUUUUUUU